UACGUAGGGGGCAAGCGUUGUCCGGAUUUAUUGGGCGUAAAGAGCGUGUAGGCGGCCAUACAGGUCAGCUGUGAAAACUCGAGGCUCAACCUCGAGACGUCGGUUGAAACCGUAUGGCUAGAGUCCGGAAGAGGCGAGUGGAAUUCCCGGUGUAGCGGUGAAAUGCGCAGAUAUCGGGAGGAACACCAAUGGCGAAGGCAGCUCGCUGGGACGUGACUGACGCUGAGACGCGAAAGCGUGGGGAGCAAACAGG
rnacentral:rRNA from 1 species